ACCCCCUCACGCAAACCCUAACUUGGAUCCCCUCCUCUCCCCCGAUCCACUCCUGUCAGACACCUCUCCCCUCUCCCCCGAUCCACUCCCGUUGCCGCCGUCGCCCCAUGCCAGGCGGCGGAACGAAGAGACAGGCCCCGCCGUGGCUGGCUUGCUCGCCGGCGCGCGCGUGCGUGCUUCGAUGCACGGCGCUCCAUCCUGCCGAUUCCCCAUCGUCUCCCACUGCCGCCAACCACAUCUUCGCCUUUGUUCUCCCAUAGCACGCCGCCGAGCUUCCCGCUCCCCUCCUCGCAGCUCCACAACUGCCAGAUCUGCCGCUCUCCGACCCCUACGUCCUCGAGGUCGACUAGAUCCGCCCCUCCCGCUAUCUGAAGCUCGCCGCGACCCCUUGCUCGUGGCUAGGGUUUCGGCUGCGGUGCUGCGUCCAUCGACGGUGCGUCUCAGGCGGCACCUCUCCGUCGCCCACCCCGGGCUCCGCGCAAGUUCAUCCGCUCCGGUACCUCGAGGAGUUCGCGCGGCGGUUUGACCUCCUCGGGCUGGUCCAGUUUGGGGCGGAGGUGGUGAGCGUCCUCCGUGGCAGGGACGACGACGCUGGCUGGAGGGUGAGGCUCCCCUGUGCUUGGCACUUUGCCUAGCCGUGCGUGGCCGCCAUCACUGGCAAUUACUCGGUCCGAUCUAUCCCCCACUCGAGCUCCUUUGCUCCACGCCAGGAUUCGACCUAGCUUUUGCAAUCCUGCUAAACAAUUUCAACAUGAGAAACAUGCCAAGAAACCACCAAACGUGAAAGGAACUGACGGGGGAGUGCUGCUGCCGGAGGAAGGCCAUCAGGAGGUGGCCGAUGUGGCGCAGUGGGCAGACCACCCCCUUUUUGUUAUCCUGUAACAACCAGAGCCACACAAAGGUCUGGGCAUUGCUGCUUGCUUUAGAGGACAUGCUCAUGCUGAAUUUAGUUUUUUUCCUUCUCAUUUCAAGUGCUUAUUCCAGAUGUGCUCUGCUCAAUCAUCACAUUUCUUGAUGCCAGAUACUAGUAGCUGUUGGCACAUUAUUCAGUUGCUAGUUGUCUGUCCCACUGGAUGCUGUGCGUCUUUUAGCAGCCCAGUACUCAUUUGUAGGAAGGGUGGCAUCACUUUGUUGGUUGUUCUUGAAGGUCAGUAAGACCAUGUAUUGAUUGAUCUUGUAUGCUGCCAUGGAUACUUUGCAAGUGGUGAUUUUCCAAGGUUGUUGUUACCAUGGAGGUCAACGGGCGUCACAAGCCUACAAGAGAGUAUGUCGACAGAGGGUGCAAUGGUGUAAAACCACACAAUAAUUUUGGCAAAGUUGAUCCCUGGACGGCGUGGGCGUACAGACCGCGGACCAUCUCGUUGUUGCUGAUGGGUAUCUGCUUUUUAAUGAGGUGUGUUUGCCGAUGACCAAAAUGUGCUGAUUGUGGCGUCCGCGUGGAUGCUUUACGGUUUGAUCCACGCCCGGUACAUCUUAACCACCAAGGGCUUGUCUCAGAUCUGUAGAAGUUGCCGCCACUGCUGCUGCUGCAGGUGGAACAGGAAGAAGCCAUCAUGGCUGCUGCACAUCUGAAGUGGUAUUAUGUGUUCUGGAAGAUGGAAGAGGGAUAAAACUUAUUUUUGUUGAACUAAUUUUUUUGUAUUCUAUUUUGUUUUAUGUAGCAUUUGAUAGUUUUGUAUAGGAACAAGUGAUAAUAUUUUGUAGGGCUUUAUGGCCUGUGAUGUAAACAUAUUUAGUGCUGAAAUAUGAAAUUAUUUGCAAAAUUUGUCG